rnacentral:lncRNA from 1 species
UUUUGAGUUUAUAGUGUUCUUAAGGAAAAAGAUUCUCUAUACCCUAACUUCUCUGAUGACCAUCAUAUUUUACAUUAUGUUUGCUUUUUCAGGUAAUAAGGAUUGCAGUCUAUUCUAAUGCCAAUACUUGAUUUUUUUUUUUUUUAAAGCUCCCUCUCCUGCCCUUCCUACCACUCCACCUCACCUUCAGGUCUGCAUUACCUUGAGAAGCCUGCAGUCGGGGUCAGAAAUGGUCAGUCCCUCUCUAGCAUCCCGCCUUACUCCUUUACCCAGGUGUCUCUGGUCCCUCUUCAGUUAGAGGGGACUCAUGCAGCAAUGAGACAAAAAGGGAAACCUGAUAGCUGACCUGAUAGCAGUCAUCUGAAGUGACUCUGAGUGCCAGUGUCAUGCCAGCUCUGUCCCCUCUGAGGUACUUUUGGUAGUUUGGUUUUGGCUGCAGGUUCUGUGACUCAGGUUAUGGCCCCUUGCUAGUAGUUUUCCAGCUGGCUGUCCCUGCCGGGGUUUGGUGGCCAUGCUAGACACUUUACUUUUCCAGCCUUGGGCCCCAUAGUCCUACUCGUACCCUGUUGUGAGUUACCUCUCAGCUCUGUCCCCUACAUAUCUCUUACCUUAUUUUGCCCCAUCCCCCUAACCCAGCAUGACAACCUUUUCUAGCCAGAUACUUCUGCCACUGGCUUUUCUGUUCUGAACUGGGCCUCUCAGGGCCUGGCCCUGCUUGUCCAUCCCAUGGCAGCCAUACGUCACCAUCCCAUCAUGUCUUAAUUCUCUGAUGCCACCUCUUUCCAUCUGAUGAAAUCUUUCCUAAGUUUUGUAACUGGGCUGCUUGAGGGCUCUCAGGAUAGUAUGGGAACUUUUUGUUGUUAUUUUUAAAGCAACUAACUCAGACCCACUUUGAUACAAAAUUUUUUUUUUUAAUCUUUCAACACUCCUGUGUAUUUUAACUCUCACCUGGAGUACUUGGUAAGCCACAGAUUUCUGGCUCUAGCUCUGCAAUUUCUGAUUAAGUAGGUCUAGAAGUUUGCAUUUCUAACAAAUGCCCAGGUAGAGGGGCCACAUCAGGGUAAUCUUGAAAGUUUUAACUUAUUCAACAGAUGGUGUGCUUGCUUGUGGUUUUAUGCCUAGCUAAAUCUCUUUUCAUAUUUUUGGUAUGAACUAGAUGCAGGCUUGAUUUUUCACACUAAUACCCAAUCAUGAGCUAUGGUGCUAUGAAUAUUUAUAUGAAAUAGAUAUUUCUCAUUAAACCUGUUUUCUUUAGAGAAGAAAUUUUCAAACGAAAUCUUGUUGACUUAAUUUCAGUGAUAGAUCUUUGUGUAGUUUCUAGAGAGAAGCAUCUAAGUUGUGUUCUGCCUGUAAUAUUUUAUUUAUAUAAAUAUGACAAGAAGCGUUGGUAAUCAUGCGAUGCUAUCCUUGCUCUAUGGUCAGCUGAACUGGAGCUGUACCUAUCAGGGUUUCCCAGACAAACAGUACAACAUACACACACACACACACACACACACACACACACACACACACGUAUGUAUGUAUACUUCCACUCAGUAUACAUACUUGUACACACAGGAUUAUCUCUUAGGAUUGAUAAGUGUUUGGUUCCAGCAUCCCUCUUUGGAUACAGCAUUUACAUAUGACCUGUGUGAAUCCUUCUGUACACAUCCACCUGUAGGUUGCUGUGGUGCCUAACACAAUGUUAUUCCUACAUAAGUAAUCACUAUGUUGCAUUAUUUAGGGAAUAAUAGCAAGAAAAGACUAUAAAUGCUCAAUAUAGAUGAAACUUUUUCUAUGUAUUUGUUUUAAAUCUAUAGUUGGUUGAAUCCAUAGCUCUGGAAUGCGCGGAGAGCCAGAUAUCGAUCCAUCCAAAUCUGUUUCACUUACUAUGAAGAAUUGGCCUGAAUGAGUAUAGCUCUGAAAAGACAUGGGGUCUUCCCAUAGCAUGCUAGAGACUCGGGAAAGCUGGAAGUUCGAUUCUCACAUCAGUCCAGUGGCCUAAGAACAGGGAAGCCAGUGGUGUAAAUACCAGCCC